rnacentral:lncRNA from 1 species
GCAGUGUAGGGACUGCUUGUGCUGCGCCAAUAGCUUUCUUCAGCAAGGACACAUGGAACACCGGGUGAAUCCGAGAGUGCGGUGGUAACUUCAAACGGUACGCGACCAAUCCGAUUCGAGCCUCCACUUGAAAAGGACCAAAAAAUCUGGGGGCCAGCUUCCUAUUAGUUGCAGAAUAUAGGGUGGACUGCCGAUACGGACGGAACUUCAAAUAAACCAGGUCACCGACAGCAAAAUCCACUGCACGGCGAUGUUUAUUAGCCUCACGAAGCAUACGUUGUUGCGCACGUUGGAGAUGGUAAGAUAGGUGUGAAAGAACUUCGUCGCGAUCACGGAGAGUUUCAGCCAAAGCUUGCACACGCACCUCCCCUGGGAGAAAUCGAGAGAUGGUCGGAGGCGGUCGACCAUAAACUGCUUCAAAUGGUGUAGUACCGCCAGCAGAUUGGAAUCCCGUAUUAUAACAGAACUCAGCCCAGGAUAACCACUUGCUCCAAUGCUUGGGCCGUUCACAAGAGAAACAACGCAAGUACGUCUCUAAACACCGGUUAAGGACUUCGUUUGGCCAUCCGUCUCAGGGUGAUAUGCCGAGCUCAUUCGCAGGGUAGUACCCGCCAAUUUGAAAAGCUCGCGCCAAAACGAGCUGAUGAAUAUGGGAUCCCUGUCUGAUACGAUUGACCCCGGGAUUCCAUGAAGGCGGACAAUCUCUUUAGUAAAAAGGUCAGCCACACUUUUGGCAGUGAAAGGAUGGCGUAAAGGGAGGAAAUGUCCGUACUUGGAAAAGCGAUCAACCACCACCAGUAUACAGUCAAUACCUCCCGAGCGCGGCAACCCCGUAAUAAAGUCGAGGCUAAUGUCUUCCCAAACGACGGUUGGAAUUGGCAACGGGUUGAGGAGUCCGGCUGGGGACUUAGUUUCAUACUUAUUGCGUUGGCAGAUCUCGCAUGCUGCCACAAACUGUGUCACGCGACGCAUCAUGCCCGGCCAAUAAACAUUGGCAGCGAGACGUCGAUAUGUUCGGAAAGCCCCUGAGUGACCCCCGGAUGGGGUGGAGUGAAACUCAACCAGCAGCUUAGGGAUCCAGUCGGAAACUGAGGGCAGGACUAGGCGUCCCUUAUAAAACAACACGCCUCGAAUCAAAGUAUAGUGCUUAGGACCAGGUUGCCCAGCUUCCAGUACAUUGAUGAUCUUCGAUAUAGAAGGGUCGGCCUUCAGCUGUGCUUGCAAAUCUGACCAAUCAAUCCAUCGUGGCAGGGAGAUGGCGGAGAACUCGACCUCUUCGUCGCGUCGAGACAAAGCAUCUGCAGCCUGGUUAAGGCAGCCUUCCUUGUAUACUAUGGAGAAAUCAUAGCCCAAGAGUUUCGCGGCCCAAUUCUGUUGCGCAGGGGUGGUGAGAGCUUGGGACAGAAGAUGUUUCAGACUGCGUUGAUCGGUGCGCACGGUGAAGUGGCGGCCCAAUAAAUAUGGUCGCCAAUGUUGAACCGCGAGUACGAGAGCCAUGAGCUCUUUUUCAUAAGCCGAUUUGGAUAGCACCCGAUCAGACAAACCUUUGCUGAAAUAGGCAAUAGGUUGCUUAUUCUGCAUUAACACGGCGCCGAGACCUCGGCCAGAGGCAUCACACUCCACGACGAAGUCUUGGGAGAAAUCUGGCGUACGCAAAAGGGGUGCCGUUGUAAGGGCAGAUUUCAGUGUCUGAAAGGCAGCCUCAGCUUCCGCCGUCCACCGAAACCGAGUAUGGCUGUCUUUUUUAAGUAAUGCGGUGAGUGGGGCUGCUAUCUUACCGUAGUUCUGAAUAAAACGGCGGUAAUAGCCCGUGAGACCCAAGAACCCCCGCAGCCCACGCAGAGAAGAAGGGACUGGCCAACGUAAAACUGCUGAUAUCUUGGCUGGAUCCAUGCGCACGCCGUCGUUGGACACAAUAUGUCCAAGGUAUUCAACUUCUUGUUUGCCAAGCAAACAUUUCUUUGGGUUAAUUACUAGCGAAUGUGAGCUGAGUAGACGCAAAACCUGCCGGAGGUGAUCCACAUGCUCAGUCCAGGAGCGACUAUAGACAAGAAUGUCGUCAAAGAAAACUAACACAAACUUCCGUAAAUGGGGUCGGAAGAUAUCAUUCAUGAGGCCUUGGAAAGUUGCCGGUGCAUUCAUAAGACCGAAAGGCAUGACCAGAAAUUCGUAAUGGCCCGAGUGAGUGCGAAAAGCUGUUUUUGGGAUAUCCUCAGUAGCAACUCGGAUUUGAUGAUAACCGGCCCGAAGAUCUAGUUUGCUGUACCAUCGCGCCCCAUGAAGUUCAUCUAAUAAUUCUUGGAUGACCGGGAUCGGAUACUUGUCUGGCACAGUCAGUUUGUUGAGCGCCCGAUAGUCGACACAGAACCGCCAGGAGCCAUCUUUCUUAUGAACCAAAAGAACAGGGCUUGAAUACGGGCUAGUGCUGGGUUGAAUAAUGCCCGCGGCUAGCAUCUCGGCGACCAAGCGCUCCAUUUCAUCUUUUUGAGUAUGGUUGUAACGGUAAGGUCGUACUGAUACCGGAUGGGAGCCAGGCUGCAAGGGGAUACGAUGAUCAUGAGCUCGCGGUGGAGGAAGGGUUGUGGCAGGUGUACUGACUUCCGGAAAUUCCGCCAAGAGAUUAGCUAAUGCACGCUGGGCAUCUGCAGAGAGGUUGGGCGAGACGCCCUGAAUUUGUUCUCCAUCCAACAGCCAUAGUAUCCAGCAGGUGUCUGCAGAGGUGAGUUCGUGAGGCUUGCGAGGAUCACACCUACGGCGGGUCAGGGAGCGGUCCCCCCGUAAACAGAUGUCACGGUCGGAGGCAGAAAAUUCCAUGGUAAGUGUCGCCCAAUUAGUCUUGACAUUCCCCAAUGUAGCCAACCAUGAGAUGCCAAGGAUCAAGUCCACACUGGAUAAAGGAAAACAUAACAAGAAAUAGAGAAUAUCACACCAUCUAAGAGAAGUGGAACAUCCUUACAGAAACCCCUGGAUCGAACACGAGUACCAUCGCCGAGUGUAACUGAGGAAUGGACGGUGGAGUCUACUUGUAGCUGUAGGGCUGUAGCCAUCUUUUCGGAGAUAAACAGUGGCUGGCGCCGCUAUCGACCAUGAUAAGCAGACGGGUUUGAUUCACACAACCGAAAAACUUCAUGGUUUGGGGGCCAUCAAAUCCAAAAAAGUUAGUUCGGAAAGCUGGCUGUGCUGGAGGGUAGUUUCCUCCGGUGUGUCGUCAGCCUCAGCAUUCGGUGAGAGUGGAAGGUCUGGAGCAGGUGUGGUGGCAGACUCAGAAUCGUCCAAAUCAUCAUAGACGAGAACAUUCAGCGUCUUGGGCGGCAUCGAUGCAGAGGGCCAAAAGGUAGCUGCAACGAAACAGUGCCAGCAGCAAGGUGUUUCUGGAUUUCCGAUUGCGGCAAUUGGCGAAAUUUGUGUGCCUUCGAAAAGUUGGAGGACUGCGGUGAUGUGGCAGACCCGGGGGUGCGGAGUAACCGUGGUACGCGGAGGAUAAACUGGUCGUGACGUCUGCACCGGAAGAGUAACAGCACGGGAGAAGGAUCCGGGUACAGUAGACGGCCGUUCGGCGCGCCGUGCUGCUCGUACAGCCGAGUCAUAUUAGUGAGGGCAGUGUCCUGGAUUCGAUCACGGACGGAAGACUUCAGGCCACCCAAAAAAUAUCCCAGCAUCUGAUCAUCAGAUAAGGGAAUGGGUAACUGUGCUGCACGUCCUUCGAAAGCGGCGAUGUGUUCCUCCAAGGAUCCGGUUUGGCGGAAUAGGAACAAGGCCUCAUAGGUGUUGAAAGUAGAAGCAUCGCCAAAACGCUCUAAGAGGGCUCUGGUAAAAUCUGGCCAGGCCGGAUUCGGGGUUCUGCGCAGGAACAAGUGCAACCAAGAUAGGGCGGCUCCAGACAUUGCAAUGAUGGCGAUUUGCAACUUUUGAUUAUCAGCGAUCUGAUGAACGAGAAAAUAUUGGUUUGCCCUAGCUAUCCAGCCACGCGGUUCAAGACCAUCAAAAACCGGCAGGUCCAUUCGUUGAAGCGGAAGAGAAAUCGGCGGGGUACCCGUAGGAUCAGGCGUAUGGUGUGGAAGAACGGGCGGCUUGUCGUGGUGGGAGACAGCAGCCAAUAUGGCGGCUAACUGAGAUUCGAUGGUGGAACGGUUGGAGUCCACCGUGGCCGUGAGGGUCACGAGCGACGUCUGCAAUUCGCCAACCACCUUCUCUAACUGCCCCAGGCGAUCCUCGGUGCUGCGCGUCGUAGCCCACCAUGGUAGGUCGGACCAAUUUGAUAGAGUAAAGGUGGAGAUGAGGCUAAAAUAAUUCACUGAACGGGAGAAACUCCUCCACAACGGAGGCCUACAGCAAACACGCUGUUACAAUCUUUAAUCUCUGCCUAACUCUCCUGCUAUAGUACGCACUAUAUAUAAUAAAGAAGGGAAACCCUAAUCUGCUAAGCCCAUGCACAUGUACGGGCUUAAGGCCCAACACAAAGAAUAACUUAACAGCUAAAAUAAUAAUAACCCANCGUCCACCGAAAUCGAGUAUGGCUGUCUUUUUAAGUAAUGCGGUGAGUGGGGCUGCUAUCUUACCGUAGUUCUGAAUAAAACGGCGGUAAUAGCCCGUGAGACCCAAGAACCCCCGCAGCCCACGCAGAGAAGAAGGGACUGGCCAACGUAAAACUGCUGAUAUCUUGGCUGGAUCCAUGCGCACGCCGUCGUUGGACACAAUAUGUCCAAGGUAUUCAACUUCUUGUUUGCCAAGCAAACAUUUCUUUGGGUUAAUUACUAGCGAAUGUGAGCUGAGUAGACGCAAAACCUGCCGGAGGUGAUCCACAUGCUCAGUCCAGGAGCGACUAUAGACAAGAAUGUCGUCAAAGAAAACUAACACAAACUUCCGUAAAUGGGGUCGGAAGAUAUCAUUCAUGAGGCCUUGGAAAGUUGCCGGUGCAUUCAUAAGACCGAAAGGCAUGACCAGAAAUUCGUAAUGGCCCGAGUGAGUGCGAAAAGCUGUUUUUGGGAUAUCCUCAGUAGCAACUCGGAUUUGAUGAUAACCGGCCCGAAGAUCUAGUUUGCUGUACCAUCGCGCCCCAUGAAGUUCAUCUAAUAAUUCUUGGAUGACCGGGAUCGGAUACUUGUCUGGCACAGUCAGUUUGUUGAGCGCCCGAUAGUCGACACAGAACCGCCAGGAGCCAUCUUUCUUAUGAACCAAAAGAACAGGGCUUGAAUACGGGCUAGUGCUGGGUUGAAUAAUGCCCGCGGCUAGCAUCUCGGCGACCAAGCGCUCCAUUUCAUCUUUUUGAGUAUGGUUGUAACGGUAAGGUCGUACUGAUACCGGAUGGGAGCCAGGCUGCAAGGGGAUACGAUGAUCAUGAGCUCGCGGUGGAGGAAGGGUUGUGGCAGGUGUACUGACUUCCGGAAAUUCCGCCAAGAGAUUAGCUAAUGCACGCUGGGCAUCGGCAGAGAGGUUGGGCGAGACGCCCUGAAUUUGUUCUCCAUCCAACAGCCAUAGUAUCCAGCAGGUGUCUGCAGAGGUGAGUUCGUGAGGCUUGCGAGGAUCACACCUACGGCGGGUCAGGGAGCGGUCCCCCCGUAAACAGAUGUCACGGUCGGAGGCAGAAAAUUCCAUGGUAAGUGUCGCCCAAUUAGUCUUGACAUUCCCCAAUGUAGCCAACCAUGAGAUGCCAAGGAUCAAGUCCACACUGGAUAAAGGAAAAACAUAACAAGAAAUAGAGAAUAUCACACCAUCUAAGAGAAGUGGAACAUCCUUACAGAAACCCCUGGAUCGAACACGAGUACCAUCGCCGAGUGUAACUGAGGAAUGGACGGUGGAGUCUACUUGUAGCUGUAGGGCUGUAGCCAUCUUUUCGGAGAUAAAACAGUGGCUGGCGCCGCUAUCGACCAUGAUAAGCAGACGGGUUUGAUUCACACAACCGAAAAACUUCAUGGUUUGGGGGCCAUCAAAUCCAAAAAAAGUUAGUUCGGAAAGCUGGCUGUGCUGGAGGGUAGUUUCCUCCGGUGUGUCGUCAGCCUCAGCAUUCGGUGAGAGUGGAAGGUCUGGAGCAGGUGUGGUGGCAGACUCAGAAUCGUCCAAAUCAUCAUAGACGAGAACAUUCAGCGUCUUGGGCGGGCAUCGAUGCAGAGGGCCAAAAGGUAAGCUGCAACGAAAACAAGUGCCAGCAGCAAGGUGUUUCUGGAUUUCCGAUUGCGGCAAUUGGCGAAAUUUGCGUGCCUUCGAAAAGUUGGAGGACUGCGGUGAUGUGGCAGACCCGGGGGGUGGCGGAGUAACCGUGGUACGCGGAGGAUAAACUGGUCGUGACGUCUGCACCGGAAGAGUAACAGCACGGGAGAAGGAUCCGGGUACAGUAGACGGCCGUUCGGCGCGCCGUGCUGCUCGUACAGCCGAGUCAUAAUUAGUGAGGGCAGUGUCCUGGAUUCGAUCACGGACGGAAGACUUCAGGCCACCCAAAAAAUAUCCCAGCAUCUGAUCAUCAGAUAAGGGAAUGGGUAACUGUGCUGCACGUCCUUCGAAAGCGGCGAUGUGUUCCUCCAAGGAUCCGGUUUGGCGGAAUAGGAACAAGGCCUCAUAGGUGUUGAAAGUAGAAGCAUCGCCAAAACGCUCUAAGAGGGCUCUGGUAAAAUCUGGCCAGGCCGGAUUCGGGGUUCUGCGCAGGAACAAGUGCAACCAAGAUAGGGCGGCUCCAGACAUUGCAAUGAUGGCGAUUUGCAACUUUUGAUUAUCAGCGAUCUGAUGAACGAGAAAAUAUUGGUUUGCCCUAGCUAUCCAGCCACGCGGUUCAAGACCAUCAAAAACCGGCAGGUCCAUUCGUUGAAGCGGAAGAGAAAUCGGCGGGGUACCCGUAGGAUCAGGCGUAUGGUGUGGAAGAACGGGCGGCUUGUCGUGGUGGGAGACAGCAGCCAAUAUGGCGGCUAACUGAGAUUCGAUGGUGGAACGGUUGGAGUCCACCGUGGCCGUGAGGGUCACGAGCGACGUCUGCAAUUCGCCAACCACCUUCUCUAACUGCCCCAGGCGAUCCUCGGUGCUGCGCGUCGUAGCCACCAUGGUAGGUCGGACCAAUUUGAUAGAGUAAAGGUGGAGAUGAGGCUAAAAUAAUUCACUGAACGGGAGAAACUCCUCCACAACGGAGGCCUACAGCAAACACGCUGUUACAAUCUUUAAUCUCUGGAUAACUCUCCUGCUAUAGUACGCACUAUAUAUAAUAAAGAAGGGAAACCCUAAUCUGCUAAGCCCAUGCACAUGUACGGGCUUAAGGCCCAACACAAAGAAAUAACUUAACAGCUAAAAUAAUAAUAACCCAACACAAAGAAAUAACUUAACAAGAUAAAAGAAAUAAAGAUAAACUUUAACUUUAUUCAGCCAUCCAAUCGACCACAGCCCGCGGCCCGCGCACAUACGUGCGCCAAGGUCGUGUGCUAUCAAAAUAAUUAAAAGGUUAAAAUAAUAAGAGAGAGAAUUAAGAAAAUAAUUUCUUUUAAAACUUCUAACUAUUAAUUUUAAUUAAUUUAUUACAUAAUAUAUAUCAAAAUUGAAGCUAUUGUCAUAAUCUUUAAUUUGAUAUGUAUAUUGAAUAUUUAGUCAUUAGUUAAAUUACAUUGUGAUUGAAAAGAAAAAGAAAAAAAGCGCAAAAAAAGCAAGAAUGAGUAUGAAUUGUGAAAGAAAAAUGGGCAUUUUGGAG